UGCAGUCGACGGAAGGCCCAGCUUGCUGGGUACUCGAGUGGCGAACGGGUGAGUAACACGUGGGUGAUCUGCCCUGCACUCUGGGAUAAGCCUGGGAAACUGGGUCUAAUACCGGAUAUGACCAACUGUCGCAUGGUGGUUGGUGGAAAGCUUUUGCGGUGUGGGAUGGGCCCGCGGCCUAUCAGCUUGUUGGUGGGGUAAUGGCCUACCAAGGCGACGACGGGUAGCCGACCUGAGAGGGUGAUCGGCCACACUGGGACUGAGACACGGCCCAGACUCCUACGGGAGGCAGCAGUGGGGAAUAUUGCACAAUGGGCGCAAGCCUGAUGCAGCGACGCCGCGUGAGGGAUGACGGCCUUCGGGUUGUAAACCUCUUUCACCAGGGACGAAGCGGAAGUGACGGUACCUGGAGAAGAAGCACCGGCCAACUACGUGCCAGCAGCCGCGGUAAUACGUAGGGUGCGAGCGUUGUCCGGAAUUACUGGGCGUAAAGAGCUCGUAGGCGGUUUGUCGCGUCGUCUGUGAAAUUCUGCAACUCAAUUGCAGGCGUGCAGGCGAUACGGGCAGACUUGAGUACUACA
rnacentral:rRNA from 1 species